UUUUUGUUCAAACUCAAUUUUGCCUCCUCUGCGUCGAACCAACUUCCGUCCGCUCCAUAGCAGCUCCGGCGAGGGAGUUUUAUAUUCCCAUCGGUCAAUUAAUCAAGAAUUAAAGUGUGUGUCUAUCCUAUCCAUGUUCCAAAGUGUAACCGAACAACAUUAAUGUCCAAUAAUAAGACCUGUGACUCGAAUCGGUGUGUAACCGACGAACUCGAACUCAUCAUUUUUUUUAGUUGAAGCCUUUAAGUUGCGGCGUCCUUAAGAGUGCCUGUAACAGCCGAAUCAUGGCCAUUCAAGACCCAUAACCGUCGACCAUUAAACACCAAAUUAAAUCUUCCCGUUUUCGAAUCAAUUCGGUAUAAGUUUGAGUUCCCAUCGAGCAUUCAGACCCUUAGUAACUUCAUUACACUUCCAAUUUUUACUCGAAAUCGCUCUGUAACCCGCUGUUCACUCGUCGGACUUGGCGUCGGAAUCACAAGAGCUUCGGUCAGACCCGCAAACAGUUCGACAAAUUGGUUUCGGGGUAAUCCUUUGGAAUUCUCCCCACAACAUCUACGAUAACUUGAGGGUAAACAAUUGCUAGCUUUCAAGCAUGCAAAGUCUAGUGUUUUUCAAAGUUGAUGAUCAAGUGAUGUGGACACGUAGCAUGAGCCUUAGGAAAAUAAAUUGAAAUCUUGAUAUGUUUGUUUUGAACAAUGUAUGAACAAUUUUGAUUAUUAUAUGAUAUGUGACUAUUUA
rnacentral:lncRNA from 1 species